rnacentral:lncRNA from 1 species
CGGUGAAACCAGUCUGUACCUCCAAAGGCUGAAAAGAAGAAUACAUUAGUUAAAACGCAAGAUGGACGCAGUGAAUGGAAAGCAUACAAGUAGAAAUCAACACGCAAAAGUAUAUGCUAACGAACAACACAAUGCGAGUUGUGGCCACAGCCUGAGAGCAAGAGGCAUAAAAAGGCUCCUCCUGCAAGAAUCUCAAAACUCAGAGCAAAGUCUGGUGUGAUACUCACCCGCUGUGCAAGCCAUUCUCCAACUUGC